UACGUAGGGUGCGAGCGUUGUCCGGAAUUAUUGGGCGUAAAGGGCUCGUAGGCGGUUUGUCGCGUCGGGAGUGAAAACUCAGGGCUUAACCCUGAGCCUGCUUCCGAUACGGGCAGACUAGAGGUAUGCAGGGGAGACUGGAAUUCCUGGUGUAGCGGUGGAAUGCGCAGAUAUCAGGAGGAACACCGGUGGCGAAGGCGGGUCUCUGGGCCGUUACUGACGCUGAGGAGCGAAAGCGUGGGGAGCGAACAGG
rnacentral:rRNA from 1 species